GACGAACGCUGGCGGCGUGCUUAACACAUGCAAGUCGAACGGAAAGGCCCUGCUUUUGUGGGGUGCUCGAGUGGCGAACGGGUGAGUAACACGUGAGUAACCUGCCCUUGACUUUGGGAUAACUUCAGGAAACUGGGGCUAAUACCGGAUAGGAGCUCCUGCUGCAUGGUGGGGGUUGGAAAGUUUCGGCGGUUGGGGAUGGACUCGCGGCUUAUCAGCUUGUUGGUGGGGUAGUGGCUUACCAAGGCUUUGGCGGGUAGCCGGCCUGAGAGGGUGACCGGCCACAUUGGGACUGAGAUACGGCCCAGACUCCUACGGGAGGCAGCAGUGGGGAAUAUUGCACAAUGGGCGGAAGCCUGAGGCAGCAACGCCGCGGGCGGGAUGACGGCCUUCGGGUUGUAAACCGCUUUCGCCUGUGACGAAGCGUGAGUGACGGUAAUGGGUAAAGAAGCACCGGCUAACUACGUG
rnacentral:rRNA from 1 species